UGACUAAAAUCACCUCAAAACCUCAACUAUUUUACAGUGUGUGACCUAAUUUCAGUUUGCCAAGCUGGGGCCGAUGUUUACUUUGGCGUUAUCAUAACCCGCUGAUGCUUCUUCUGCACACCAUCAACGUCUUAUCAGGGCCUCAGCAGCUCUCCUUCGCUCUCACAAUCACACCAACACACAAACUUACACAACUACAGCGCUCCCCCCUUCUCCUCCUCUCCCAGUGUGUAUCCUCUUCAAGCUUCCAGCUUCCUUGCUGAGGAAAAAGAGGACUAGAUUGACAGGAAGAGAGGAGACAGUGGGGAUGUGACACAACAAUGGCAGGAAGUAACUUCAGAUUGAUGCAGAUGAAUGAAAAACACCAUCGACAUGGCAGAAACGACUUAACAAACAUCCCAUGCAGAGGGCCUCACCCUCACAGAGGAACAUGUCCCAGACCCGCAGCACAGAGGACCAGGGCAGGGUCCGGGAGAAGGCACACAUAAACCACUCCGUCAUGUACAGGAUCGGCUCCAGUUUAUGCUUCUUUAAGUGGCGGUGAGCCACGGGAGACACCCGCCGCAGCAGAGCGUACAGGAUCUCCCCGUCGAGCUGGAUCGCCUCCUGUGGAGAAGACGGGGAACAGCAGUGAGCGGGCGGGGACAACAGAUUCCUCUGUCUCUGCCUAAUCUGAUUGUCUGCUUAUCCCUGUCCUUGGCCCAGUCACCACCUUGUGUUAUUAGCUUGUUAGCUUAUCAGUAUCCAGUGAGAGACAAGAGUCGCCUGACAAGUCUGACACCCUCUAUGGCAGCACAUACUGUAGCAUAGGAGCAUAGCAGAAAUCUUUUGAAUCUAGUGUUUGUUUCACUGACAAACUCUGACUACAACUUAAAAACAUGUAAAUCCAUAAACUCAUGUCUUUGACAGCAAAAUGUAAUGCUUCAGUUGCUGACUGUGUGUUCUUUGACUAUGUAUUUUUGUGUUUUUAUGACAUAUAGCACUUUGAAAAUAAAAUAAAAUUGGAUUUAAUUGUU